rnacentral:rRNA from 1 species
AGGCAGUGGGGGCGUGCUUAAACAUGCAAGUCGAACGAUGAAGCCCUUCGGGGUGGAUUAGUGGCGAACGGGUGAGUAACACGUGGGCAAUCUGCCCUUCACUCUGGGACAAGCCCUGGAAACGGGGUCUAAUACCGGAUAACACUCUGUCCCGCAUGGGACGGGGUUGAAAGCUCCGGCGGUGAAGGAUGAGCCCGCGGCCUAUCAGCUUGUUGGUGGGGUAAUGGCCUACCAAGGCGACGACGGGUAGCCGGCCUGAGAGGGCGACCGGCCACACUGGGACUGAGACACGGCCCAGACUCCUACGGGAGGCAGCAGUGGGGAAUAUUGCACAAUGGGCGAAAGCCUGAUGCAGCGACGCCGCGUGAGGGAUGACGGCCUUCGGGUUGUAAACCUCUUUCAGCAGGGAAGAAGCGAAAGUGACGGUACCUGCAGAAGAAGCGCCGGCUAACUACGUGCCAGCAGCCGCGGUAAUACGUAGGGCGCAAGCGUUGUCCGGGAAUUAUUGGGCGUAAAGAGCUCGUAGGCGGCUUGUCACGUCGGAUGUGAAAGCCCGGGGCUUAACCCCGGGUCUGCAUUCGAUACGGGCUAGCUAGAGUGUGGUAGGGGAGAUCGGAAUUCCUGGUGUAGCGGUGAAAUGCGCAGAUAUCAGGAGGAACACCGGUGGCGAAGGCGGAUCUCUGGGCCAUUACUGACGCUGAGGAGCGAAAGCGUGGGGAGCGAACAGGAUUAGAUACCCUGGUAGUCCACGCCGUAAACGUUGGGAACUAGGUGUUGGCGACAUUCCACGUCGUCGGUGCCGCAGCUAACGCAUUAAGUUCCCCGCCUGGGGAGUACGGCCGCAAGGCUAAAACUCAAAGGAUUGACGGGGGCCCGCACAAGCAGCGGAGCAUGUGGCUUAAUUCGACGCAACGCGAAGAACCUUACCAAGGCUUGACAUAUACCGGAAAGCAUCAGAGAUGGUGCCCCCCUUGUGGUCGGUAUCAGGUGGUGCAUGGCUGUCGUCAGCUCGUGUCGUGAGAUGUUGGGUUAAGUCCCGCAACGAGCGCAACCCUUGUUCUGUGUUGCCAGCAUGCCCUUCGGGGUGAUGGGGACUCACAGGAGACUGCCGGGGUCAACUCGGAGGAAGGUGGGGACGACGUCAAGUCAUCAUGCCCCUUAUGUCUUGGGCUGCACACGUGCUACAAUGGCCGGUACAAUGAGCUGCGAUGCCGCGAGGCGGAGCGAAUCUCAAAAAGCCGGUCUCAGUUCGGAUUGGGGUCUGCAACUCGACCCCAUGAAGUCGGAGUUGCUAGUAAUCGCAGAUCAGCAUUGCUGCGGUGAAUACGUUCCCGGGCCUUGUACACACCGCCCGUCACGUCACGAAAGUCGGUAACACCCGAAGCCGGUGGCCCAACCCCUUGUGGGAGGGAGCUUCGAAAGGUGGACGGGGC